UAAACGUGCAGUAACUCGGAAACGACUUAACUGAACCUUCGGUUCACGUUAAGGGCGUCGAGCGGCGGACGGGUGAGUAAUGCCUAGGAAAUUGCCCUGAUGUGGGGGAUAACCAUUGGAAACGAUGGCUAAUACCGCAUGAUGCCUACGGGCCAAAGAGGGGGACCUUCGGGCCUCUCGCGUCAGGAUAUGCCUAGGUGGGAUUAGCUAGUUGGUGAGGUAAUGGCUCACCAAGGCGACGAUCCCUAGCUGGUCUGAGAGGAUGAUCAGCCACACUGGAACUGAGACACGGUCCAGACUCCUACGGAGGCAGCAGUGGGGAAUAUUGCACAAUGGGCGCAAGCCUGAUGCAGCCAUGCCGCGUGUGUGAAGAAGGCCUUCGGGUUGUAAAGCACUUUCAGUCGUGAGGAAAGGUAGUGUAGUUAAUAGCUGCAUCAUUUGACGUUAGCGACAGAAGAAGCACCGGCUAACUCCGUGCCAGCAGCCGCGGUAAUACGGAGGGUGCGAGCGUUAAUCGGAAUUACUGGGCGUAAGCGCAUGCAGGUGGUUUGUUAAGUCAGAUGUGAAACCCGGGGCUCAACCUCGGAAUAGCAUUUGAAACUGGCAGACUAGAGUACUGUAGAGGGGGGUAGAAUUUCAGGUGUAGCGGUGAAAUGCGUAGAGAUCUGAAGGAAUACCGGUGGCGAAGGCGGCCCCCUGGACAGAUACUGACACUCAGAUGCGAAAGCGUGGGGAGCAAACAGGAUUAGAUACCCUGGUAGUCCACGCCGUAAACGAUGUCUACUUGGAGGUUGUGGCCUUGAGCCGUGGCUUUCGGAGCUAACGCGUUAAGUAGACCGCCUGGGGAGUACGGUCGCAAGAUUAAAACUCAAAUGAAUUGACGGGGGCCCGCACAAGCGGUGGAGCAUGUGGUUUAAUUCGAUGCAACGCGAAGAACCUUACCUACUCUUGACAUCCAGAGAACUUUCCAGAGAUGGAUUGGUGCCUUCGGGAACUCUGAGACAGGUGCUGCAUGGCUGUCGUCAGCUCGUGUUGUGAAAUGUUGGGUUAAGUCCCGCAACGAGCGCAACCCUUAUCCUUGUUUGCCAGCGAGUAAUGUCGGGAACUCCAGGGAGACUGCCGGUGAUAAACCGGAGGAAGGUGGGGACGACGUCAAGUCAUCAUGGCCCUUACGAGUAGGGCUACACACGUGCUACAAUGGCGCAUACAGAGGGCAGCAAGCUAGCGAUAGUGAGCGAAUCCCAAAAAGUGCGUCGUAGUCCGGAUUGGAGUCUGCAACUCGACUCCAUGAAGUCGGAAUCGCUAGUAAUCGUGGAUCAGAAUGCCACGGUGAAUACGUUCCCGGGCCUUGUACGCACCGCCCGUCACUUCAUGGGAGUGGGG
rnacentral:rRNA from 1 species